GAGUGAGCUAAAGAUGAAUACCAGAGGACUUGGAUCUCAGCUAAAGGACAGUAUUCCAGUUACUGAGCUAUCAGCAAGUGGACCUUUUCAAAGUCAUGAUCUUCUUCGAAAAGGUUUUUCUUGUGUGAAAAAUGAACUUUUACCCAGUCAUCCUCUUGAAUUAUCAGAAAAAAAUUUCCAGCUCAACCAAGAUAAAAUGAAUUUUUCCACACUGAGAAACAUCCAGGGUCUAUUUGCUCCACUAAAAUUGCAAAUGGAAUUCAAGGCAGUGCAACAGGUUCAGCGUCUUCCAUUUCUUCCAAGCUCAAACCUUUCACUGGAUAUUUUGAGUGGCAAUGAUGAGACUAUUGGAUUUGAAGAUAUUCUUAAUGACCCAUCACAAAGUGAACUAAUGGGAGAACCACACUUGAUGGUGGAAUAUAAACUUGGUUUACUGUAAUGCAGUGAGCUGACCAUGGAAAUGGAGGGGCUACAUCUUGUUUAUAGUUAUCUUUUUACUAUAAUUUUAUGUAUACAACAUUAAAAGUACUGACACAUG